CGAAGCAAUCUCCGGUCUCCCCCACGCCUGAUUGGAGAUCUCCUCGGUGGCAUCCUUCGUUGAAACGCAGCUCCUCGCAAAGGAUUCUCGGCCGGGAGGGGAGAGGCGGGCACCGGAGACGCUGAGGGUUCCGGCAUCAAGGUAUGUGAGUGAUCCCUGGUAGCAGCCUCGGUCACAAAUUUCCAGCUACUGUGCUUCAUCCGGAGAUAAGAAGGCUCUGUAGGAGCUCUAUUGGUUGUUCUUGGCAGCAGGUAUCACUAGAGGAUCUGUGCCAGCAAUUUUAC